UACGUAGGGUGCGAGCGUUAAUCGGAAUUACUGGGCGUAAAGCGUGCGCAGGCGGUUUUGUAAGCCAGGUGUAGAAAUCCCCGGGCUCAACCUGGGAAUGGCAUUUGGGACUGCAAGGCUGGAGUGCGGCAGAGGGAGACUGGAAUUCCUGGUGUAGCAGUGAAAUGCGUAGAUAUCAGGAGGAACACCGAUGGCGAAGGCAGGUCUCUGGGCUGACACUGACGCUCAUGCACGAAAGCGUGGGGAGCAAACAGG
rnacentral:rRNA from 1 species